rnacentral:lncRNA from 1 species
CCGCAGAUUUGUUUUUUUUCCAUCCUGGUUGAACUUUCUAGCGUGACACUAAUAAGUUCAUUAGCAUCAUAUAUGCGGCUUAGCAGGGCGCGGGGGGCAUAGCCUAACAAAUGUGUGGAGUCAAUUGUUCUUCAGUUGUUUGAAAUACUGUUCAGAAUUUUUUGUCCAAGACUUCAAAACUAAUUUCGAACUCCACAACAAAGCUUCCCAGCUGUGGAGUAUAACAUCCACGUGGACACCUUGAUGAAGCAGCUAAUUUGGUGGAUGAGAACACCGGCGAAAAACUACUCUAAGCACAUCGGCUAGCUUUCCUGUAGGAGAAAUAUCAGUCAAGCUCCUGAGAGACAGAAUUGGAAAAAAAGAAAAAACGAGGAAAACAAGGCCGCAAAACAAACAAUGUUGCUCUCGCCACAUUUAACAUCGAGCCUCUCUGGGGAACAACAAUGGCUUCAGCAAGGCCGCAGCGCGUCUACACGUUGCUAGAUCUCUCUCUGGCCCGUUGGGUCGUGCUCGACCAGCAAAAGUUGAAACAAUUGAAGUUUUAUAUUUUCCAUUGAGCUCAGCACUCAGACGUGUAUUAAAGCUUGGCCGUUUAUGCUGUCCCCUUCAUCUGAAGUCCUGUUACGGGAGCGCUUGGUGCGUGAAGGUUUGGAGGGUGAAGGGCUUGUUGAGAUGGUGCUUCGGUGAGGAGUGUUGCUGCUUGAGGUUUCCCAAGGGGACGCUCCUGAGAAGUUGGCUCACCAAGUCCCGACCCAGACUGCUGCUGCUCAUCGCCGGCUUGAAGAGGCCUCAGGUCACCCUCAUGCGCAGGAAAAGGAUGAAACGCACCAAAGUAGCAAAGGCCACGUAAGCGCAGCUGCAGUCGUAUGCCGCAUUUCACUUGAAUCGCUGACACAGAGAGAAGCUCCAUCUGCCGUCGACAUGAACGCAGACCCAGAAACAGAGAAAGCAUCUCAGUCGUCUCGGCCAAACAUACGAACUAAACACCAAAGCAGAAGCAGCAGAGGCUCAGAGAUUGUUGUGAAAAUGAGGGAUCUUCCACAAAGAUCCAGACCCCCCGACUAAGAUCCGGAGCCUCCCAGUGACAUUUGUUCAUCUUUCUCUCAAAUACACUUCUGUCAUGCAGAAUGUUGCAUGUUCACUACACAGCGUGUGACAGCACAUUAUUGCUCUUGCCUUUGCUUGACAGUGCUUUCCUUUCCUGUGUUCUCUGGUCAGGAUUUCAGGGACUUUUAUUUUUCGAUUCCUAAUGAUGUGUGUGGGUGAAAAAGAAGAAAAACAAUGAGAGAAAAAAAGAAAAGGGUAUAAUUGCCUUGAGCUAGUAAGCAACAGCACACCAGUGGGGUUUUCUGUUGAGCUCGUCAGACUAACGGUCUAUUACUGUGUCCUGAGGAGUAAAAUAUUUCAUUUACAUGACAAUAUCCAAUGAAAAAAAAAACAUUACAUCAGAGUUACAUAAAUCCAAAUGGAUUAUUCUGUGGCCCCCAUUAUCAUUUAGAAACCCCAAAAAAAUCAUCAUUGAAACAAAAAAAUAAUAAUCAAGCAGCUAUUUGACAUAGUUUAUAGAACUAAUUGGUUGUUACUGAAGACGUCCACAUAAUUAUUGAUAAAAACUGCACUAAUUGUUAGGUGAAGCAUGUCAAAUCUAGCGCAUAUAUCACACAAAAUCCAAGGAAAAAAUAAGAAAUUAUAUUUUGCAUUAAGAAAAUGACCAUAUUUUAGGACCAUUGUAAUUUUUGUUUACAUUGUGACAUUAUUUUCAUGACAAUUAAGAACAUUUUACCCCA